AUUGGGGUUUUAGGGUUUUCCGUCCUGCAGCUGCUCAAGAUUCAGUUUAGGCUCAAGAUUCAAUCAAGUGAAUUUAUAAUUCGACUGAGUUACCAAAAGUACUUCUUCAAGAUCACCCGUUUCUACAAGUUCAUCAGCUCAGGUUAGAAUUUUCAGGGUUUUUCUUUUCAAUUCAAGACUUGAAAAUUUGUGAGUUUAAGGAUUAAGCAGUUACACUUCAACAUCAGCCAUUUCUACACUCAAUAGGUACUUCUUUUUCCAUCUUUUACUUCUGGGUUGUUCAACUAUUGUGAAGAUGAAUGGUAGAGAUAUCCAAGGAUACCGUUUCUAAGUGAUUAAGCAAAUUUGAUUUUAGGGAUUUUCUUAAUUUGAAUGUUUGAAUGCUUAUAAUGUUAGUUGGUCACAGUCGGAGAUAAUUUUCAAGAUUUGAUUUGAGUUUUGUGGCCUAAUCUUCAAAUCAGAAACAUGAAAUUGAUUGGGUAGUGAUAUUGAGGCAUUCCGAGUUUCUAAGAGGUUUCGGAAUUGUUGGGUUGUGGAGGUUAGAUACGAAUUUGUAAUAUUUUUUUAGUUAGUUUCUUUUCUUCUAGCCGGAAAACACAGCAAACAAGUGGUGUCUUUGCAAGGAGGAUAAACAGGAGCAAUGUCAAUCAGCAAGAUUCCAGGUGAUAUCUGCAAGUCAAUCAUCUCAAGGCUACCAGUAAGAUCUGUAUUAGCAUGCAAAUGUGUAUGCAAGAGUUGGUUAAACCUAAUUUCUAAUUCAGAUGAUUUCGUGCAAAUGCAUCUUGAUUUUCAUAGACAAAACAAUACUUGUCUCAUGUUUGGUGGUCGCCACCACGAUAACAGAAUUCAAAUACACUCAAUUGGUUAUGACUCAUUAUCAGCAUUGUUACUGCCUGAAAUUGAAGAUGAUAAUCAUAAUGCUGUUGAACAGUAUUCUUCUUCAGCAUUGAGUGGGAUUGAUGUUUACGCAGAUCAAGUGGAUUAUCCAUUUAAAUACUUAGGUCAUGUUGAUUUAUGUGGUUCAUGUAAUGGUUGUGUCUGCCUAUGGUUUAAAGACUGUCAGAAUUGUAAUAAGGAGCAAUUCUUUUGCCUUUGGAACCCAGCAACCAAAGAAUACAAGAGAGUGUCCGAAGCACCAAAAAGCUACAGUUACAAUGACGUAAAUGUAUUUGCUUUUUUUUAUGAUCCCACAGCUGAUGAUUACAAGUUUGUUCUUGUUGUAUCCUCCCAUGAAAAAGAAAUUGAAAUGAGCUCUUUAGUCCAUGUCUAUUCGUUAGCAUCAGAUUCAUGGAAGAGCUUUCGAGUACCUUAUAGUUUCACUUUAUCCCAUCAAAAGUCUGGGGUUGUUUGUAAUGGAGAUCUUCAUUGGUUAGCCGUUACCUUUAGGCAAUUCAAUCAUUCCAUCGUCUCUUUGGAUGUUAGGAACGAGAAAUUUAAGGAAAUUCAACCACAACUAGAACAUAAAGAGCUUAUUGUUGUGGGGGGCAUUGGAAGAGUGCCUUUGUGUACUUGUUAAAAGUGAACUUAAUGCAUUUGAUAUAUGGGCAAUGCAAGUUCAUGGAGAUCCAAAAUUAUGGACUAAACGUUAUUCCAUCACCCAUGAGAUGAUAACUAACAGAUAUUGUUCUCGUUUGUCUGAUUUGAGGUUGAUGUGGUCCUUUAAAGAUGGCGUUAUUUUAUUCAUGGAUCCGAGUAACCUAGUUUUAUAUGACCCAAAGCAUGGGAGUGCUAUUAAAUGAAGGGUGAAGUAUAUGUCGGCAGAGAAUUAUUCAGAAAGCUUAGUUUCAUUAAACUCUGGUACAUAUGUCGGAGGAAGAACGAUUCUUAGGAACAGAAGCAACUCAGUUCUUGAAGCCCGUAAUGCUGAACUUGAAUCAACGCCCAACUGGUGGCUAGUAAUGACGAACUACAGAGGAAGCUCCACGAGUCUCAAGUGGCAUAUCAACACCUACAACAACACAUUAAUGCUCAGGAUGAGCUGAUUGCACGUCUCAGGGGCAUGUGAGAAGCUUCCAGGACAUGCUUUUAAGGAUAUAGCACCUUGGGUGAGAGUUAAUUCAAGAUCGAGUGACACUCGAAACAAAAUGGAGGGAAGAGCUUGCAAAACAGCAGCAAGAUUGGCUAGAGAGCAUGAACAAGACAAUUUGAUGACAACGAAAAUGUGAUAGACUUCUUGGAGAAAGAUCUAAAUACUGUGUACUGGAGGAGUAGGACUAUGCUUCAGACUGAAAAGAUCGAGGAACAUUUCAAUACUAACUCUUUUAAUUUUAUAAGUAGGAAACGGAGUAGCUGGGCAGACUAUUUGGCUGAAUAUUUACGUAAGUUUUAAUUUAUCUUCCAACUCGAUGGAUAAUAUAAGUUGAAAAUGUUGGAUUGAUAUAAUAUGCAACUCAGG